AACGAACGCUGGCGGCAGGCCUGACACAUGCAGGUCGAACGCCCCGCAAGGGGAGUGGCAGACGGGUGAGUAACGCGUGGGAACCUUCCCAGUGGUACGGAAUAACUGACCGAAAGGUUGGCUAAUACCGUAUACGCUCGAAAGGGGAAAGAUUUAUCGCCAUUGGAUGGGCCCGCGUCGGAUUAGCUAGUUGGUGAGGUAAUGGCUCACCAAGGCGACGAUCCGUAGCUGGUCUGAGAGGAUGAUCAGCCACACUGGGACUGAGACACGGCCCAGACUCCUACGGGAGGCAGCAGUGGGGAAUAUUGGACAAUGGGCGCAAGCCUGAUCCAGCCAUGCCGCGUGAGUGAUGAAGGUCUUCGGAUUGUAAAACUCUUUCGCCGGGGAAGAUAAUGACGGUACCCGGAGAAGAAGCUCCGGCUAACUUCGUGCCAGCCGCCGCCGUAA
rnacentral:rRNA from 1 species